rnacentral:rRNA from 1 species
UACGGAGGGUGCGAGCGUUGUCCGGAAUCAUUGGGCGUAAAGGGCGCGUAGGUGGCUACUUCAAGCGUGCGGUGAAAGUCGGGGGCUCAACCCCUGAUCGGCCGUGCGAACUGGGGGGGCUGGAGCACUGUAGAGGCAGGCGGAAUUCCGGGUGUGAGCGGUGGGAAUGCGUAGAGAGUCCGGAAGAACACCGGUGGCGAAGGCGGCCUGCUGGGCAGUUUUGCUGACACUGAGGCGCGACAGCGUGGGGGAGCAAACAGG